ensembl:miRNA Mir707 microRNA 707
GGCAUGUAGUCAUGCCGCUUGCCUACGCUUGUGUGAGCAUGGGCAUGCGGUCAUAGUUGUUGCGGGCAAUUCG